UACGAAGGGGGCUAGCGUUGUUCGGAUUUACUGGGCGUAAAGGGUGCGUAGGCGGUGCAAUAAGUCAGGCGUGAAAGCCCCGGGCUCAACCCGGGAAUUGCGCUUGAUACUGUUGCGCUUGAAUCCAGGAGAGGAUGGCGGAAUUCCCAGUGUAGAGGUGAAAUUCGUAGAUAUUGGGAAGAACACCAGUGGCGAAGGCGGCCAUCUGGCCUGGAAUUGACGCUGAGGCGCGAAAGCGUGGGGAGCAAACAGG
rnacentral:rRNA from 1 species